AGAAUCAACGCUGGCGGCGCGCUUAACACAUGCAAGUCGCACGAGAAAGUGGAGCAAUCCAUGAGUAAAGUGGCGUACGGGUGAGUAACACGUGGAUAAUCUACCUUCUAGUGGGGAAUAACCCUGGGAAACCGGGGCUAAUACCGCAUAAGCUCGUGAGAGGAAAGCAGCAAUGCGCUGGAAGAGGAGUCCGCGGCUGAUUAGCUAGUUGGCGGGGUAACGCCCACCAAGGCGAAGAUCGGUAGCCGGCCUGAGAGGGCACACGGCCACACUGGCACUGAAACACGGGCCAGACUCCUACGGGAGGCAGCAGUGGGGAAUCUUGCACAAUGGAGGAAACUCUGAUGCAGCGACGCCGCGUGAGCGAUGAAGCCCUUCGGGGUGUAAAGGCUCUUUCGACGGGAACGAUAAUGACGGUACCCGAAGAAGAAGCUGCGGCUAACUACGUGCCAGCAGCCGCGGUAA
rnacentral:rRNA from 1 species